rnacentral:lncRNA from 1 species
CUUCUUUAUGAUCGAUGUUUGACUUAGGGAUUGCUUAUGGAAAUUGAAGAGAUCUUUUGAUCCUCCCUCGUUCAUCUCAUAUGCCAUGUAUUAGAGGCCUUUUACCUUGAUUUUAUUUGGUCCUUACCUCAUUUCCUGAUUAAAUUAUUCAGUGGACCCUUCGUGUGCAUAUUUUCAUCUGUUUGAUUCAUCUGUUAUCUUUUAUACUUGUUUCUC